rnacentral:rRNA from 1 species
GGCGAUGACGGUAAGGGAGAAGGUGUCGGUGAGUAAGGUGAGCCUCCCUCCUAAGGCUGGUCUACUUUAGGUGGCAAGUCCAGGCAGCGGCCGCCGUUCUGGCCUCGACAUAUCCCGGCAGGCAGAGGAUGCGCGAAGCGGCGGGCCUCGACAGUGCCGAUCGCGGUGGGCAGAGGCCGCGCGGCGGCGGUCCUCGGCGUCCCAACCUUCCGCCAUUCCGUCCUCAGCGGCGGCGAGUGGAGGCCGUGCGACGCGCCGGACCCCGGCAACAGAACCGACCUCCGUUCCACCCUAGGCAGUGCCGAUCGAGGCGAGCCGAUUCCACGCGACGCGGUGCGAGCCGGCACCUGAACCGGCCGCCGUUCUGCCCCGGCAGCGCCGACAACAGCAGGCCGAGGCCGUGUGAGUUCCGGUCGGCUUCCAACACCGACUGGGCGAGGGACACUCUACCACCGUACCACCUUGACAUCGCGCACGUCGGCCACCGGCUCUAAGGCGCCCUCCAACCUGCUAGUGUCACCUUCUACGCUUGAGCUACGUUCGAGUUGUCCGUUUCCGCGUUCUUGUAUGGACGCCUGCUACUUCACCGUCCUCGAGGCAGGUACGACUUCUUGUGCCAUCUACAACUAGGUGCCUCUCCUGUUAAAGGAUAGUUAGAACUAGAUAUAUAAAAGGAAACUAGGUCCCCGUUGUUAAUUGUUACCUUGUCUAACCAUACUCUCAUACCUACUUCGGUGCUUCUCUAAAACCGCCGUUAGACAACAAUGCGCCCUCUCUUUGUACACCAAAACGACUAAAAGACCUUCGAUUGACGUUAACCUCUCUAUUCCCAACGAAUUAACCACCCCAGCAUGGCCCUGUCCACAGCCGGUGGACAACCGGGACGUGUUAUCACGCACGACCCUUGGUCGCCCUCUCGGGCUGGGGUCGCGGUCCGGAUCCCACCCACCCCGCACCGGGUCAGCGUCUCUCCCCGCCGCGUACCUGACCCGCGUCCCUGCCCGGCGCUAUAAUUUUAGCCGACCGCCAUGGAACCGAAACACCUCGCGCCCCUAGCAGAGCACAGCACACAGAUAGGUCAUAGGUGUCCGUUCUACCUCUCUCCACGCACAGAGAGAGCUCGGGCGGGCCGCAGCAGCGCCCGUGGUAGUCGGCGCCGUGCCGUCGUCAGUCGCCAGCGUGCGGUGCAGGGCCCGUCGUCGAUCGCUCCGCUCUGUCCAGCCCAGCCCUACCCUACCCGCCAACUGACGACGCAGAUUUGGAUGUGGAUGCAUCUCAUAUAUGAUGAGGGUUCACAUCCGCAUGUCUUGGGUGGGUGGGUUCACAACCGUAGGAACAGAACAAAAGCCGAGCCCCUACGUACCGUUCUGGUUCUGGCUCCAGCAGAGUAGGUAGGUAGGUAGGUACACCCCGAGCCGAGCAGGUUCAGGUUGUCACCUCACACACACAAGGCUGUAGGAGAACCGGACAACCUACCUACGUCACAACUCCGAUAACACAGCAGCCAACUGAACACGCGGAUGAGGACGAAGCAGAGAAGAGAAGAAGGUACGUACCCGUGUUUGGAAGGCCAGCGAACUUAUAAAAUUCAAGGUCAAUAUACGUCCCUGAGUGUCGUGUCCCUUGGUAAAGGAUGCAUCGUUUCCAGGCAAACUCUUGUACGUAGCACACAGUACCGUACCGUUUGUAUUUAUUAUUACCUUGGUGUACGUACGUACGCACCAAUAACAAUUUGUUCACACGAAGAGAUCGUAAGUCAAGGAGUGCGUGUGGGAGGAAGAACUAAUUUUAUGGCGCCCCGAAGAAAAGAAAACUCUUCCUCAGAAAGACGUUUUCUUUGAAUCUAGGCAUAUAUACGUUAACU